AUGAAGCUGUUGGUUGUGGUGCCUUCUUGUGACUCACUGUUGUCUUCCUUGUUCCCAGGUGUCCAAUCCCAGGUGCAGCUUCAAGAGUCAGGCCCAGGACCAGUGAAGCCCUCACAGACCCUCUCCCUCACCUGUGCUGUCUCUGGAUUCUCCAUUACAACUAGUGAUUACUACUAGUCCUGGAUUCACCAGUCCACAGAGAAGGGGCUUCAGUGGAUUGGGUAUAUGAGUUCUAGUGGUAGCACUAGCUAGAACCCAUCCUUCAAGAGCCACAGCUCCAUUUCCAGAGACACAUCCAAGAAUGAGUUUUCGCUGCAGCUGAGAUCUGUGACCACAGACGACACCGCUGUGUAUUACAGUGCGAGAGGGCCGGAUUACCCAAACUACCUCAGCUACUGGGGCCAGGGGAUCCUGGUGACUGUCUCCUCAGCCUCCACCACAGCCCCAACAGUCUUCCCCUUGGCCCCCUGCUGUGGGACCACAUCCAGAUCCACAGUGGUGCUGGCCUGCGUGGUCACCAACUACUUCCCAGAGCCAGUGACGGUGUCCUGGAACCCUGGAGACCAAUCUGGCGCACACACCUUCCCAGCCAUCCUGCAGUCGUCUGGCCUGUACUCCCUCAGUAGCACGGUGACUGUGCCUGCCAGCAGCUGGCCCAGCCAGACCUACACCUGCAACGUUGCCCACACUCCCAGCAAGACCAACGUGAAGAAGAAGAUAGAGUCAUGCCGCAAGCCAUGUCUGACAGAGUGCAAGUGCCCAGCUCCUGAGCUCCCGGGAGGGCCCUCUGUCUUCAUCUUCCCCCCCAAGCCCAAGGACUUCCUCAUGAUCUCCCGAACCCCCACGGUGACGUGCCUGGUAAUAGACGUGGGCCAUGAUGACCGUGAGGUCCACUUCACCUGGUACAUGGACAACAAAGAGGUGCACACAGCCAAGACCACGCAAGAGGAGGAGCAUCACAACAGCACCUACCGCAUAGUCAGCGUGCUCCCCAUCCUGCACCAGGACUGGCUCAAAGGCAAGGAAUUCAAGUGCAAGGUCAACAAUGGAGCCCUCCCAGCACCUGUUGAGAGGACCAUCUCCAAAGCCAAAGGGCAGCCCCAGGAGCCACGGGUGUAUGUCCUGCCCCCACACCGGGAUGAGCUGGCCAAGAACACGGUCAGCCUCACAUGCCUGGUGAAGGGAUUCUACCCAUCUGACAUUGAUGUUUCUUGGAAGAGCAACCAGCAGGCAGUGCCCGAGAACAGCUACGUGAGCACUCCAGCCCUGGCUGAGGCCGAUGGGACCUUCUUCCUGUACAGCAAGCUCUCAGUGUCCAAGGAUAGCUGGCAGCGAGAAAGCUCCUUCACCUGCGUGGUGCUGCACGAGGCACUGCACAACCACUACACUGAGAAGUCCAUCUCCUUGUCUCCUGAGCUGCACCCAGAUGAGAGCUGUGCGGAGGCCCAGGAUGGGGAGCUGGAUGGGCUGUGGACCACCAUCUCCAUCUUCAUCACGCUCUUCCUGCUCAGCGUGUGCUACAGUGCCACCAUCACCCUCUUCAAGGUGAAGUGGAUCUUCUCUUCGGUGGUGGAGCUGAAGCGGACGAUCGUCCCCGACUACAGGAAUAUGAUAGGGCAGGCUGCCUAGUGGCUGUUCAGAGACGAACACAUAGAAGCUGGACCCCGCCAUAGGCUUCAGGUGGCUCCACCCUCCAACCGAGCCCCGCCCUGCCCUCUGACCCCUUACUGCCCUCUGACCAUGCUGUCUCAUCUCCCUCCUGUCAGAGAACCUUGUGGACAGCAGGUUCUCCCCUAUACUUCAGCAGCCUGGAUGCCCCGCCACCCCAUAUCUAAAUAACAUUUACAGCAGCACCAGGAGUGCCGGUGGGGUCAUCACACUGGGAGACCCUCAGAGUCAGCUGUGCAUGUCCAUUUUGGAGGAGGGGAUGGGCCAGUAUUUCACAUGUCCAUUUGGAGCAGGGACUUGAGUGCAAGCCCCACCCUGAGCCUGACUCUGAGAGAUGCCAAGUCUCAAAGAUCCUUGGUGGGGACAUCAUGCACCAAGGCAGGGGAGCCACUGACCAUCACCUCAAGCAGGUACUCUCCCUGAGAAGUGCUGCAGCCUUCACUGCAUGAUGCUUCCUCUCGGCCCUCGCCUGGCUAGUUCCACCCUGGGAGACCACUGGGAUUCCCUCCAUCACUUUUGUGGUCCCUGGCCUGAGGAAUAAGCUCAUUUUCAUUUUGAACUGGAAAGUUUGUCUCUAGCUCAUGGGAAGGGGCUUCCCCUCCAAUAUCGGCCUCUCGCAGUGCUCUUAGUAGUGGGAUUCAACCCAAGGGAUAGAUGCUCCCAGCCUCUGCCAGCAUGAGGCCAGGCAAGGGGGCUGGCCCAGGAUACUUGCCAUCUCCCAGCCACCAGCCCAGUUCCAGCCCAAAGGCCCAGCCUCACCACUAUGUAAGAGACCACCUGUGAAGGCCUGGGCUGCCCCCUUAAAAACUGCAGGGUCUGGAGGGUGCAAAGGUAGGGCCUUUGGGUGAGGGUGUCAUCUGUGCUGACCAGAAAGGGCAUCAGGUCUUAAGGGUGAGUGGCUGGACAGCCUCUUGGAGAGAGACCUGGUGACUGUGCCCCAAAUGGUCAGGGUGUGCCAUGGGAGGCCACCUCCAUGGGCCCAGGACAGAGGUGGCCAAAGACAAAGAGCGUGAGAGUGAGGAGAGAUGACCAGAUGCUGGGAGUGGGCGUCUCACAAGCGAGACUCUGACGAAGAGUCAGGCCAGCCUGGCCACAGGCACAGCACAGAGUUCUGGGGAUCCAAACCUUGCCACCCUUCUGGGCUCCAUGUCUCCCAACCGCCCCUCAAGCAAAUGCCCAGCAGAGUCACACCACAAAGGAGCCAGAGUGCUAAGCCCACAUCUUAAAGUGGGAAGAAGAAUGAGGCAAACGGAAGCAAAACAUGCCAAGGAAAUGUCAUCAGCUUUGUAGCUUCUUACUUCUUUUUAAUUUCCUGAAGCCCCUUGAUUUUCUUUCAUGUACAUAUGUUGUCCUUGUUUUUUAAUUACAAUAAAAUGGCCUUAAAUUAUGCGGUUUAUC